GGCAGCAUGGUGUAGUGGUUUGAGUGUUGGUCUGCUACUCUGGAACCUAGGGUUCGAUUCCCAGGUCGGCCA